rnacentral:rRNA from 1 species
UGCAGUCGAGGGGUAACAGGGAUUGCUUGCAAUCCGCUGACGACCGGCGCACGGGUGCGUAACGCGUAUGCAACCUACCUUCUACAGGGGGAUAGUCAAUAGAAAUGUUGAAUAAUACCCCAUACGAUCUUUGAAUAGCAUUAUUUAAAGAAGAAAGUUCCGGCGGUAGAAGAUGGGCAUGCGUCCUAUUAGUUAGUUGGAGAGGUAACGGCUCCCCAAGACAUCGAUAGGUAGGGGCCCUGAGAGGGAGACCCCCCACACUGGUACUGAGACACGGACCAGACUCCUACGGGAGGCAGCAGUGAGGAAUAUUGGACAAUGGAGGCAACUCUGAUCCAGCCAUGCCGCGUGCAGGAAGACUGCCCUAUGGGUUGUAAACUGCUUUUAUACAGGAAGAAAUGUACCUACGUGUAGGUAUUUGACGGUACUGUACGAAUAAGGAUCGGCUAACUCCGUGCCAGCAGCCGCGGUAAUACGGAGGAUCCAAGCGUUAUCCGGAAUCAUUGGGUUUAAAGGGUCCGUAGGCGGUCUUUUAAGUCAGAGGUGAAAUCCUACAGCUCAACUGUAGAAUUGCCUUUGAUACUGAAGGACUUGAGUUAUUGUGAAGUAGUUAGAAUGUGUGGUGUAGCGGUGAAAUGCAUAGAGAUCACACAGAAUACCGAUUG